rnacentral:rRNA from 1 species
UCAGGAUGAACGCUAGCGGCAGGCUUAACACAUGCAAGUCGAGGGGCGAGCGGGAUGUAGCAAUACAUUGCCGGCGACCGGCGGAUGGGUGCGUAACGCGUAUGCAACCUACCUUAUACAGGGGAAUAACCGUUCGAAAGGGAGACUAACACCCCAUAGUAUUGAUUAAGGCAUCUUAGAUUAAUUAAAUAUUUAUAGGUAUAAGAUGGGCAUGCGUAUGAUUAGCUAGUUGGUAAGGUAACGGCUUACCAAGGCGACGAUCAUUAGGGGUUCUGAGAGGAAGGUCCCCCACACUGGUACUGAGACACGGACCAGACUCCUACGGGAGGCAGCAGUGAGGAAUAUUGGUCAAUGGGCGCAAGCCUGAACCAGCCAUGCCGCGUGCAGGAAAGACGGCCUUAUGGGUUGUAAACUGCUUUUACAUAAGACUAACCGUAUAUUUGCGAAUAUACCUGAAUGUAUUAUGAGAAUAAGGAUCGGCUAACUCCGUGCCAGCAGCGGC